GACGAUCGCUGGCGGCGUGCUUAACACAUGCAAGUCGAACGGAAAGGCCCUUCUUUUGUGGGGUGCUCGAGUGGCGAACGGGUGAGUAACACGUGAGUAACCUGCCCUUGACUUUGGGAUAACUUCAGGAAACUGGGGCUAAUACCGGAUAGGAGCUCCUGCUGCAUGGUGGGGGUUGGAAAGUUUCGGCGGUUGGGGAUGGACUCGCGGCUUAUCAGCUUGUUGGUGGGGUAGUGGCUUACCAAGGCUUUGACGGGUAGCCGGCCUGAGAGGGUGACCGGCCACAUUGGGACUGAGAUACGGCCCAGACUCCUACGGGAGGCAGCAGUGGGGAAUAUUGCACAAUGGGCGGAAGCCUGAUGCAGCAACGCCGCGUGCGGGAUGACGGCCUUCGGGUUGUAAACCGCUUUCGCCUGUGACGAAGCGUGAGUGACGGUAAUGGGUAAAGAAGCACCGGCUAACUACGUG
rnacentral:rRNA from 1 species